rnacentral:rRNA from 1 species
UGUCCUACGGGGCGCAGCAGUAGGGAAUAUUGCCCAAAGGGGGAAACCCUGAAGCAGCAACGCCGCGUGGAGGAUGGAGGUUUUAGGAUUGUAAACUCCUUUUGUGAGAGAAGAUAAUGACGGUAUCUCACGAAUAAGCACCGGCUAACUCCGUGCCAGCAGCCGCGGUAAUACGGAGGGUGCAAGCGUUACUCGGAAUCACUGGGCGUAAAGAGCGCGCAGGCGGGCUUGUAAGUCAGUUG